CUAAACAUAUCACAAUUGAAUAGUAGUAUUGGACAAAACUCCCAAAUUGAAGGGAAACCGAGCGAUUCUUUUUAAAUUAAAUACUCGAAUUGGUAUCUAAAUCGAGAAUCGACGAGUUCGAUUCUAGAUCAAGAACUGAAGAAUCGAAUUUUCCUAAAAUUUUUAAUUAAUUUAUUUUAAAUAAGUCAAAUUAUUUUAUUUUUUUUAAAUAAAUUUGUUAACUAGUUAAUUUAGUUUGAACCCAAAAGUAUGAUUUUCUUAUUUCUAAUUUUCAGUUCAAAGCCAAUUUAAUCAAAUUGACCUAAAUUUUAUCAAAUUCUGUUACUCUACUGUAGUGUCGUUUCUACCGUUUUGGAGAAAUCGAAUUGAAGUUCGACAAUGUCUCUCUUAAUUAUUUUGAGCUCACCGUCUUCCUCUUCCUGUUAUUUUAACAAUCAAAUAUAUAUAUAUAAAAAAAAAAACUCAUCAAAGAGUGAAGCAAAAGACACAUAAGAUUGAAUUACGUUAUUUUUGUAAGAAUUAGGAUUGAAUAUAUCAUUAGUUAAAUUAAUGUCACUUUGUAAAUAUUAUAAAAAUUAAUUAUAAUACGAAACCUCAGAAUCGAAUGGAAUCGGACCGAACUGACCCGAAUCCAAACGGUUCCAUAAAUAAAUUUGGACCCGACGGUUUUAUUUAGUAAAUAUCCGAAAAUUUCGAAUCCGGCUCGAUUUUUAUUGAAAUCAAACUGAAUCAGACCAUAUUUAGCCCUACUGAAUAGUAUUAACACAUUAUUGAUUCAUAUAUUCUCCACUUAGUCCAUAUCGAUAAUAUUAUAAAGUUGUCAGAUUUGGUCUUAAAUUUGGCAAACCAUGCAUGAUUAGAGGAUUGUUUAUUUAUUAUUGUUACUUUUCGAUUGAGCUAGGAUAUAUUUUGUCCCAUUAAAGUUCUUCUUUAAUAACAGU
rnacentral:lncRNA from 1 species